rnacentral:rRNA from 1 species
UGUGUAGGCGGUUGCUUAAGUUUGGUGUGAAAUCUCCCGGCUCAACUGGGAGGGUGCGCCGAAUACUGAGUGACUCGAGUGCGGGAGAGGAAAGUGGAAUUCCUGGUGUAGCGGUGAAAUGCGUAGAUAUCAGGAGGAACACCGGUGGUGUAGACGGCUUUCUGGACCGUAACUGACGCUGAGACACGAAAGCGUGGGUAGCAAACAGGAUUAGAUACCCUGGUAGUCCACGCCCUAAACGAUGCAUAUUUGGUGUGAGUCAUUCAGUUGAUUCGUGCCGGAGCUAACGCGCUAAAUAUGCCGCCUGGGGAGUACAGUCGCAAGGCUGAA